rnacentral:rRNA from 1 species
GACGAACGCUAGCGGCGUGCCUAACACAUGCAAGUCGAGCGAACAGACCAGGAUUUUGCGCGGCUGACGUUAGCGGCGGACGGGUGAGUAACAUGUGUAUAACCUACCUAUAAGACUGGUAUAAUUUCGGGAAACCGGCGCUAAUAGGGGAUAAUAUAUUGAACCGCGUGGGUCAAUAGUGAGAGUAGGUUUUUCUGGAAGUUAUAGCUGGAUCCGGGCCGCAUUAGCUAGUUGGUAAGGUAACGGCUUACCAAGGCUAGUACGCGUAGCCGGCCGCAGGGGGAGGUCGGCCACCCUGGAAGAGAGGCAGGGUCCACACUCCUGCGGUAGGACACAGUCGGGAAUCCUACGCAAUGGAGGAAAGGCUGACGGAGCAACGCCGCGUGAGUGAUGACGGUGUCCGGCUCGGUAAACUCUGUUAUUAGUGGAAAACAAAUAUGUAAGUACCUAUGCACAUAUUGACGGUACCUGGUCAGAAAGCCCCGGCUAACUACGUG